AGAGUUUGAUCAUGGCUCAGAAUGAACGUUGGCGGCGUGGAUUAGGCAUGCAAGUCGUACGGGCCGCAAGGCCAGUGGCGCAAGGGUGAGUAAGGCGACGGUAACCAACCCCAUGAUUGGGUAUAGCCGCGGGAAACUGCGGGUAAUCCCCAGCGACGUCCGUAGGGGGCAUCCCUCUCGGACCAAAGCUCCGGCGUCGUGGGACGGGCUGUCGUGGUAUUAGCUAGUUGGCGGGGUAACGGCCCACCAAGGCUCUGAUGCCUACCGGGCGUGCGAGCGUGGCCCGGCACACUGGGACUGAGACACUGCCCAGACUCCUACGGGAGGCUGCAGUCGAGAAUCUUCGGCAAUGGGCGCAAGCCUGACCGAGCGACGCCGCGUGGAGGACGAAGGCCUUCGGGUUGUAAACUCCUGUCGAGGGGGAAGAAGGGCCGUUAAAAGCCUUGACUGAUCCCUGGAGGAAGCACGGGCUAAGUUCGUGCCAGCAGCCGCGGUAAGACGAACCGUGCGAACGUUAUUCGGAAUCACUGGGCUUAAAGCGCGUGUAGGUGGGACGGCACGUCGGUCGUUGAAAUCCCCCGGCUCAACCGGGGAAGUGGCGCCGAUACGACCGUCCUGGAGGGACGUAGGGGGACCUGGAACUUCCGGUGGAGCGGUGAAAUGCGUUGAGAUCGGAAGGAACGCCCGUGGCGAAAGCGAGGUCCUGGACGUUUUCUGACACUGAGACGCGAAAGCCAGGGGAGCGAACGGGAUUAGAUACCCCGGUAGUCC
rnacentral:rRNA from 1 species